rnacentral:lncRNA from 1 species
GGAGUUAUAAUUGAACUCAUGGUUGUCAAUUGGAAAAAGAUUUUGGGACUAUGGAUUGUAUUGGGUUAAUAUAAAGGAGCACGUGUGAUAAUGGUAAUAAGGGGCACACUUUGAUUAGAAUGAAUAGUGAUGGUUGUAAUUCACUUGGAGUGUAUAAAUUAAGCGUUGAGGUAAGAGUAAACUCAUACUUAUGUGCAUGAAGAUAAGAGACACUAUGUUAAUUUAGCUUGUUAUGCCCAUAUAAAAGUGGUGUUGGGAUUUUGAAAUAUUUUAUAUGUGAAUAUGUGUUGAAUAGGUACAGCAGCUUAGAGGGAACUGGUGUUGAUUUCAAUUAAGCGAUUGUGAGAUUUCAAGAAUUAAUUGGACCUAUUAUAGUUCAUGGAUAUAAGCACGUGGAUUAACUCGAGAGUGAAUGUCAUGACUCGAAACUCCCAUCUGGCCCGUAACAACCGCU